CCCCCGCACCGUGGCCUCCCAAGACCACCCGCUUUGUUUCCUGGCUUCCUGUGGACGUCCUGAGUGUGUUUCUCUGAGUCCCUAUGAGCGUUCUGAGUUUUUGCGGCCUUUCUCGGAGCGCUGUGUCUGAGUGUGUUUCUCUUUUUCUCCGUGUAUUUUUCUCUGUGUGUUUCAGGAUAAGUUUUUGUCUCUUUCUCUGUCUUUGUGUAAGCGUGUGGGUAGGUCUCGGUUUCUUGGUGUGUGUGUGUGUGUGUGUGUGUGUGUGUGUGUGUGUCCCACCCUCUUCACCGCCAAGGGGCUCUAAAUCCACCAGGAUAAAACAGCCCCGAGCCUCCGCCUCCUUCCUUCCCCCUGCCGGGAACACCCGUCCCAACACCCAGGUCGGAAGAAGGGACCCCCGGCCCGGCCCGGCCCGAGGCUCGCAGGGCUCCCAGGCGCGCAGUCCCACUUUGCCCAACUUGUGGGCGCCUGGGGUGCAGCGCGCGGGCUCCGCGGCCCCAACAAAGAUUUCCAGCUUCUCUGGGAAAUUCAGAAGAUCUCUCAAAACACAGCCCAUAUGGCAUGGGUAGAAAUGAUUCAAAGUUCUGAGUAGGACUCCUCUCUGUCUCCAACACGGGAGGUGAGGCACAAGCAGUACCCUUCCUUCCAAUACGUCUACACGCAAGGGGGUUUUCUCAAAAAAGGUAAGAAGGAUGGUUGCUGGACAGCUCCUCAAAAUUCAAGCACCCUACCUAUGGCCUCUCCUCACUCAGUCUGAAUGCCAAGCCGUAGCAAGAGUUUCCAAAUUGAAGACUGAACCCGGUGGUUAGAGAAGAGAAGCCAGCAGGUCAUAAAUGGUGCUGAGGGCGAUAAGGAGGAAAGAGUCUUCAUUCUGACCAGUGAGUGCAAGCUUGUGCUCUGCCAAGGCAAGAAGUGAAUAUUUGUUGAGCACCUACUAUGUGCCAGACACUGAUUAGGCAUCUUACAUGCCUAUCUCCGUUGACCUUCUCAUCACCCCUGAAAAGUCAGUAUGUUCAUGUUUGCAAGAGAGGAAACAGACUCAGAGGGAUGGGGUGAUUUACCCGAGCUCUUGCAACUUGCACGUGGUAGGGCAGGGAGUAGACUCAAGUCUCCCUGGCAUCAAAGUCCAAACCACCCACACCAGGAAACUGCUAGUUCCUCCAGUGACCUGGGCAUCAGAACAGGGCAGGUUGUCAUGGCCCUGGCCAUGGCUACAACAGAUAAAGCCAGUCUAUCCCAAUUUCGUGUGCUCUCUGUUAGGGAGGAAGAAUUGACUCUGCCCUUCAAGGUCCUCCUGGCUGGACUGAGACUCAAACUUACAUCAGACAGACUAACAUGUGAAAGCAAAUUUCAUUUCGUACUUAUGGGGAAUCCACACAGACAUGGAAAUACCAAAGACGGCUAAGCAAAAUGAGGUAUAUAAGUAUUUCUGAAUGGAGGAGAAGGGGGUAGGGGUCUGGGACUUUAAAGGGAAGGAAUGAGCGCCUGCGUGGCUCAGUCACUUAAAUGUCUGACUUUGGCUCAAGUCACAAUCUCAUGGUUCGUGGGUUCGAGCCCUGCAUGAGGCUCUGUGCUGACAGCUCAGAACCUGGAGCCUGCUUCAGAUUCUGUGUGUGUGUGUGUGU